UACGGGGGGGGCAAGCGUUGUUCGGAAUUACUGGGUGUAAAGGGCUCGUAGGCGGCCAACUAAGUCAUACGUGAAAUCCCUCAGCUUAACUGGGGAACUGCGUGUGAUACUGGAUGGCUUGGAUUUGGGAGAGGGAUGCGGAAUUCCAGGUGUAGCGGUGAAAUGCGUAGAUAUCUGGAGGAACACCGGUGGCGAAGGCGGCAUCCUGGACCAAUAUUGACGCUGAGGAGCGAAAGCCAGGGGAGCAAACGGG
rnacentral:rRNA from 1 species